rnacentral:rRNA from 1 species
UACGGGGGGAGCAAGCGUUGUUCGGAUUUACUGGGCGUAAAGGGCGCGUAGGCGGCCACCGCAAGUCGGUUGUGAAAUCUCUGGGCUUAACCCAGAAAGGUCAACCGAUACUGCGGGGCUAGAGUGCAGAAGGGGCAACUGGAAUUCUCGGUGUAGCGGUGAAAUGCGUAGAUAUCGAGAGGAACACUUGCGGCGAAGGCGGGUUGCUGGGCUGACACUGACGCUGAAGCGCGAAAGCUAGGGGAGCGAACGGG